GAGCUCAAAUUUGAAAUCUGGCGUCCUCAGGGCGUCCGAGUUGUAAUCUAUAGAGGCGUUUUCCGUGCCGGACCGUGUCCAAGUUCCUUGGAACAGGAUAUCAAAGAGGGUGACAAUCCCGUACUUGACACGACGACCGGUGCUCUGUGAUACGUCUUCUACGAGUCGAGUUGUUUGGGAAUGCAGCUCAAAAUGGGUGGUGAGUUCCAUCUAAAGCUAAAUAUUGGCGAGAGACCGAUAGCGAACAAGUACCGUGAGGGAAAGAUGAAAAGCACUUUGGAAAGAGAGUUAAACAGUACGUGAAAUUGUUGAAAGGGAAACGAUUGAAGUCAGUCGUGACCGAGAGGCUCAGCCGGUUCUGCCGGUGUAUUCCCCUCGGUCGGGUCAACAUCAGUUUUGUCCGGUGGAUAAGGGCGGUAGGAAGGUGGCACCCUCGGGUGUGUUAUAGCCUGCCGUCGCAUACAUCGGGUGAGACUGAGGAACGCAGCUCGCCUUUAUGGCCGGGGUUCGCCCACGUCCGAGCUUAGGAUGUUGACAUAAUGGCUUUAAACGACCCGUCUUGAAACACGGA
rnacentral:rRNA from 1 species